CGGGUGAGUAACGCGUGGGUAACCUGCCUCAUACAGGGGGAUAACAGUUAGAAAUGGCUGCUAAUACCGCAUAAGACCACAGUACUGCAUGGUACAGUGGUAAAGACUCCGGUGGUAUGAGAUGGACCCGCGUCUGAUUAGGUAGUUGGUGAGGUAGCGGCCCACCAAGCCGACGAUCAGUAGCCGACCUGAGAGGGUGACCGGCCACAUUGGGACUGAGACACGGCCCAG
rnacentral:rRNA from 1 species